rnacentral:rRNA from 1 species
CCCUUAGAUGUCCUGGGCUGCACGCGCGCUACACUGAUGUGUCCAGUAAGCACCUAACCUCUUCCGAAAGGAACGGGUAACCUUUGCAAAGCACAUCGUGAUGGGGAUAGAUUAUUGCAAUUAUUAGUCUUGAACGAGGAAUUCCUAGUAAGCACAAGUCAUCAGCUUGUGUUGAUUACGUCCCUGCCCUUUGUACACACCGCCCGUCGCUCCUACCGAUUGAAUGUUCCGGUAAGCUCUUCGGACUGCGCGGUCUGCAGUUUCUGCGUUCCGUGCGGAAAGUUGCGCAAACCUUAACAUUUAGAGGAAGGAGAAGUCGUAACA